UCAUAGGUUGUCUUGUACAGCCAGCACCCAUUUUUUGUGUGACCACGUUGUUCAUCCCUGCAUCCCACAAAGCCUUCCGGUCUGCAAACUGGUGCUUCCCAGGAGCAAGACACUCCCAAGUGAAGAAAACAGAAGAAAAGAAACAGUAUUGUACUUCUCAGACUCAAGCAUGACCCAACCUCCAGAAAGCUCAUUGGUCUUCUGCAGCUUGACCUACCUAUUAAUCCUUGGUUAUCAUUCAACUAUUUUUUAUUAUUUAGUGAUACACUUUAAUAAGGCAUCCUUUCCAAUGAGAUGAGCAUGCAUGACGGCUUCAGUGAGCAAGGCGUCAGCUACCCACACUGACUGAGCUUGAAUAGUAAUAUGUAUAGACCAGGGAUGGAGAACCUUCUGGCCUUCCAACUCCAACUCCCAUCAGCCCCAGCCAAUAUGGCCAAUGGCCAGGGAUUAUGUGAGUUGUAGACUACAGGAGGAUUUGGUGAUGCCACCUUCCUGUUUCUGCUUGAAGUAGUGGAGUCCAGAAGCAGCUUCUCCACUUGAUUCUUCUAAAUGUAUUAAACGGAUCCUUGAAUAAUAAAUUUUUGAUGCCAUU